rfam:Loxodonta africana unplaced genomic scaffold scaffold_11, whole genome shotgun sequence.
CUCAGAUAUGGAGACAUGGUGCCCAAGACGAUUGCUGGAAAGAUCUUCGGCUCCAUCUGCUCCCUGAGUGGCGUCCUGGUCAUCGCCCUGCCGGUCCCUGUGAUUGUUUCCAAC